rnacentral:rRNA from 1 species
UGGGGAAUAUUGCGCAAUGGGGGAAACCCUGACGCAGCAACGCCGCGUGAAGGAUGAAGGUUUUCGGAUUGUAAACUUCUUUGACGAGGGACGAAGAAAUGACGGUACCUCGAAAACAAGCCACGGCUAACUACGUGCCAGCAGCCGCGGUAAUACGUAGGUGGCGAGCGUUGUCCGGAUUUACUGGGUGUAAAGGGCGAGUAGGCGGGACAGCAAGUCAGUAGUGAAAUGCGGAGGCUUAACCUCCGAGCUGCUAUUGAAACUGUUGUUCUUGAGUGAUGGAGAGGCAGGCGGAAUUCCCGGUGUAGCGGUGAAAUGCGUAGAGAUCGGGAGGAACACCAGUGGCGAAGGCGGCCUGCUGGACAUUAACUGACGCUGAGGAGCGAAAGCGUGGGGAGCAAACAGG